rnacentral:piRNA from 1 species
CGAACUGUGUUAUGCUGAGGCUU